CCAUUUUUCUAUAUUACCAAAUAUAUUCAAAAUUUGUUCUUUUCCACUCAAUUUCAUCAUCUCAUUUUUCUAGGCGCACGAGAAUCAUAAAUUACGUAAUAUGGUGGAUUCACUGUCAGAAAUUAAGGAGCGGUGGACAACGAACCUGGAAACGGAAAAUGACCAAUCCGUUCAAUUGUUUUUUUAUAUAACAACGGUGUUGCCUCCGUGAUCUAAAUAAAAUUUGAUUCGGGUUGAAGGUGUUAGUUCGGGACUUCUGAUAUGGAUUCGUCUUCUUCUUCUUCUGAUUGGGUUUUACAUCGUAGGAUGUUGCAAAGAACAUACAAAAAUGGCAGGAUCUAGUCCUUGUGGACAAGACUAAAUAAUGAUGAUGAAAAUAUGCAGGCUACAUGUCCGAAUGGAAAAUUUCAUCAAAAAAAAUCCGUACUCAGUUGUGUUACUAUCGAAUAGUUUAAUCCUCGAAGAUUCCGGAAUCAUCUCCAUCACCAAUUUGGAGCAUAAUUAAAUUCAGCCAAAAUAAAAUAAUUCAAAAAACAAUUGAAUUUACUUUUCUAAACAAAAUAAUCAAAUAGAAGUUUUAUA